UUGGAGGGCAAGUCUGGUGCCAGCAGCCGCGGUAAUUCCAGCUCCAAUAGCGUAUAUUAAAGUUGUUGCAGUUAAAAAGCUCGUAGUUGAAUUUCGGGAUCAAAUUGUUGGUCGUGCCUCGGUACGCACUGGUAUUAUUGGUUCCUACCUUCUGAAGAACCGCGAUGUCAUUAAUUUGGUGUCGUGGGGAAUCAGGACUGUUACUUUGAAAAAAUUAGAGUGUUUAAAGCAGGCUUACGCUUGAAUACAUUAGCAUGGAAUAAUGAAAUAGGACGUUUGAUUCUAUUUUGUUGGUUUCUAGGAUUGACGUAAUGAUUAAUAGGGAUAGUUGGGGGCAUUAGUAUUCAAUUGUCAGAGGUGAAAUUCUUGGAUUUAUUGAAGACUAACUACUGCGAAAGCAUUUGCCAAGGAUGUUUUCAUUAAUCAAGAACGAAAGUUAGGGGAUCGAAGACGAUCAGAUACCGUCGUAGUCUUAACCAUAAACUAUGCCGACUAGGGAUCGGAUGAUGUUAAUUUUUUAAUGACUCAUUCGGCGCCUUACGGGAAAC
rnacentral:rRNA from 2 species